rnacentral:rRNA from 1 species
GAUGAACGCUGGCGGCGUGCCUAAUACGUGCAAGUCGAGCGAACAGACGAGGAGCUUGCUCCUCUGACGUUAGCGGCGGACGGGUGAGUAACACGUGGAUAACCUACCUAUAAGACUGGGAUAACUUCGGGGAACCGGAGCUAAUACCGGAUAAUAUAUUGAACCGCAUGGUUCAAUAGUGAAAGACGGUUUUGCUGUCACUUAUAGAUGGAUCCGCGCCGCAUUAGCUAGUUGGUAAGGUAACGGCUUACCAAGGCAACGAUGCGUAGCCGACCUGAGAGGGUGAUCGGCCACACUGGAACUGAGACACGGUCCAGACUCCUACGGGAGGCAGCAGUAGGGAAUCUUCCGCAAUGGGCGAAAGCUUGACGGAGCAACGCCGCGUGAGUGAUGAAGGUCUUCGGAUCGUAAAACUCUGCUAUUAGGGAAGAACAAAUGUGUAAGUAACUAUGCACGUCUUGACGGUACCUAAUCAGAAAGCCACGGCUAACUACGUG